rnacentral:hammerhead_ribozyme from 1 species
GCAUUGCUGAGGAGUCCCAUACUAAGAGGAAACAGCCGUCCAAUAC